GGGAAAUAAAACUCACCAACCCUAGUUGAUGGUGUCAGUUUGCAGGAGGUACUUGGCACUCUCAAACCAGCCCAAGUUGGCACUGGUGCCAGCUUGGUCCUGGGAGGCAUCCUGCGAUAUGCGGAAUUUUAAAAGCCAGAAGGCUGCUCUGAGCCACAGCCCCUAGAACACAAAAACCGCCCCUUUUCCCUGGGAAAUAAAACUCACCAACCCUAGUUGAUGGUGUCAGUUUGCAGGAGGUACUUGGCACUCUCAAACCAGCCCAAGUUGGCACUGGUGCCAGCUUGGUCCUGGGAGGCAUCCUGCGAUAUGCGGAAUUUUAAAAGCCAGAAGGCUGCUCUGAGCCACCGGCCCUGCAACACCAACGCUGCCCCUUUUCCCAGUUUGCAGGAGGUACUUGGCACUCUCAAACCAGCCCAAGUUGGCACUGGUGCCAGCUUGGUUCUGGGAGGCAUCCUGCGAUAUGCGGAAUUUUAGGAGCCAGAAGGCUGCUCUGAGCCACCGGCCCUGCAACACCAACGCUGCCCCUUUUCCCAGUUUGCAGGAGGUACUUGGCACUCUCAAACCAGCCCAAGUUGGCACUGGUGCCAGCUUGGUCCUGGGAGGCAUCCUGCGAUAUGCGGAAUUUUAGGAGCCAGAAGGCUGCUCUGAGCCACAGCCCCUAGAACACAAAAACCGCCCCUUUUCCCUGGGAAAUAAAACUCA